GCUGACCAAUUUGCAGUUCUAAUGAGCUCUGACUGACCAACUUUGGUAAUCCUAUAAUGAGUGUGACGGCAAUGAUGAUGAAAAUGCGGAAGAAAUAGAGAUCAAAUGCUAAUCCAUAGUUUGAAGACUUAUAGUUUUUGAUCAAUUGAAAGGGAGAAGUGUCAGAUGGUAGAAACAAAGUGAAUGUUUUGUUCACAUCUUCUCCUUGUCGUUUUUGCAUUUUAUCGCCCUGUGUGUUUGAGA
ensembl:ncRNA K10D6.25 ncRNA